AGACUGUCAGGAAAAGCUGUUUUUAAAAAAAUAUUAAAAACCACAUGAGAAUAAAAAAUCAGUUUGGCAGGAAACCUGAAGAAUAUUUGAUAAAAGUGGUUUCUGUUAGUCUUGGCCCAAAGAAAACGUCUUAGCUCUUUGCUAGAACCGGGCAGCGUGGUGGAAAAAAAAAGAUGCAGUGUCUCCUUCUCUUGCCUAAUCUUUUGGCAGACAAAUGGAUCAUUCUGACAUCGUGUUAGAAGUGUCAGCCUUGUAUUGGACACCCCAAAGAUACUGUACUUUAUGGUGGCAUUACUUCUGGGCAUUGUUGCUGCUUAAGGAAGAGCUGCCAGUCUGCUUUGUAACAGAAGCCUCUUUUAAAACACCUUUAAAAGGAAGUACUUCCAUAGAAGGAAGGAGAGAGAAGGAGAAACAGAAUGGCACUUAGAUCUGUUCUGAAGAAGGAAAAGAAGAGCAUAACUCCAGUCAAAACUUGUUUAAAGAAAUUGUUGGGGCAGAGUUCAGCCGCCUCUACAGCAGUUCCACUUCCCGGAGGGGGCAAAAAGGAAAGCCGGAGGCAGAGCUGUGCGGUGUGGUUGACAAGGGCCUGGUUGUCAUUAUUCUCUCACGCCAGUGUGAAAGAGGGGAGGAAUGCUGUUUCCUGA
rnacentral:lncRNA from 1 species